UUGCAGAAUCCCGCGAACCAUCGAGUCUUUGAACGCAAGUUGCGCCCGAGGCCAUCCGGUCAAGGGCACGCCUGCCUGGGCGUCACGCCAAAACACGCUCCAAAACCCAUCCACGGGGCGAGGAAGCGGUGCAUGGCCCCCCGUGCCGCAGGGCGCGGUGGGCCA
rnacentral:rRNA from 1 species